rnacentral:lncRNA from 1 species
AUUUCAAACACUUUAAGGGUGGGGCGAAAGAAGGCGUUUCUAUAAGGCUGCCAGCACUUCAACGGCAUUUAGCAAAUACUAGUUAUUUCCGCUAUUACCCGGUGAAUCGCGGUCUUUGCGGCCCGAAACCUUCCAACCCAUUAUCCUUGGACUUGCCGCCGGCCUGGCGUCCCCGCGCCGCGACACAGAUGGAACGGACCGUGACGUCACGAGACCGCGACUCAAUCAGACGCGGCGUUCGGGAAAUUUUAAAUUUAAAGGCGGGGUGGCCCGUACGCUCUGAAGCGCCGGCGGUGGAGGUUUCUGACGUAUUCCCUGGGGUCCAGCCGGGCAGGAUGGCGGAGGAAGGAGCCGUAGCCGUCUGCGUGCGGGUUCGGCCGCUCAAUAACAGAGAAGAAGCGCCUGACAAAGAUACUCAAGUUUACUGGAAAACUGACAAUAAUACAGUUUUUCAAGUUGAUGGGAGUAAAUCCUUCAAUUUUGAUCGUGUCUUUCAUAGUAAUGAAACUACUAAAAAUGUGUAUGAAGAAAUUGCAGUACCAAUCAUAGAUUCUGCCAUUCAAGGCUACAAUGGUACUAUAUUUGCCUACGGGCAGACUGCUUCAGGAAAAACGUAUACUAUGAUGGGUUCACAAGAGUAUUUGGGAGUAAUACCCAGGGCAAUUCAUGACAUUUUCCAGAAAAUUAAGAAGUUUCCUGAUAGGGAAUUUCUCUUACGUGUGUCUUAUAUGGAGAUAUACAAUGAUACCAUUACAGACUUACUUUGUGACACUCAAAAAAUGAAGCCUUUAAUAAUUCGAGAAGACUUCAAUAGAAACGUGUACGUGGCUGACCUCACAGAAGAAGUUGUUUAUACAUCAGAAAUGGCUUUGAAGUGGAUCACUAAGGGAGAAAAGAACAGGCAUUAUGGAAUUACAAAAAUGAAUCAGCGAAGUAGUCGUUCUCAUACCAUUUUUAGGAUGAUUUUGGAAAGCAGAGAGAAAGGUGAACCUUCUAAUUUUGAAGGAUCUGUCAAAGUGUCCCAUUUGAAUUUGGUCGAUCUUGCAGGCAGUGAACGGGCUGCCCAAACAGGUGCUGAAGGUUUACGACUCAAGGAAGGCUGUAAUAUAAAUCGAAGUUUAUUUAUUUUGGGACAAGUGAUCAAGAAACUUAGUGAUGGACAAGUUGGUGGUUUCAUAAAUUAUCGAGAUAGCAAAUUAACACGAAUUCUCCAGAAUUCCUUGGGAGGAAAUGCAAAAACACGUAUCAUCUGCACAAUUACUCCAGUGUCUUUUGAUGAAACACUUAGUACUCUCCAGUUUGCCAGCACUGCCAAAUAUAUGAAAAAUACUCCUUAUGUUAACGAGGUAUCAAGUGAUGAAGCUCUCCUGAAAAGAUACAGGAAAGAAAUAAUGGAUCUUAAAAAGCAAUUAGAGGAGGUUUCUUUAGAGACUCGAGCCCAGGCAAUGGAAAAAGACCAACUGGCCCAACUCUUGGAAGAAAAAGAUCUACUUCAAAAAGUCCAGAUUGAGAAAAUUCAAAACCUAACACGGAUGCUGGUGACAUCUUCUUCUCUAGCAUCACAGCAGGAAUUAAAGGCUAAAAAAAAACGAAGAGUUACUUGGUGCGCAGGGAAAAUUAACAAAAUGAAGGACUCAAACUAUGUAAAUGAAUUUAAUAUGGCAGUGAAUGUAACAACAAGAACACAUAAGGCUGCUGUAAGUUUAGGAGAAAUUGAUGAAUCUCUCUGUUCAGAGUCUGAUAUUUUCAGUAACACUCUUGAUACAUUGACUGAGAUAGAAUGGAAUCCAGCAACAAAGCUACUAAGUCAGGAAAACUUAGAAAGUGAAUUGAAUUCACUUCGUGCUAACUAUGAUAACCUGGUACUAGACUAUGAACAUUUAAGAAGAGAAAAUGAAGAAAUGGAAUUGAAAUUAAAAGAAAAGAAUGAUUUGGAUGAAUUUGAAGCUCUAGAAAGAAAAGCAGAGAAAGAUCAAGAGAAUGAACUAAAUUCAAAAGUAGAGCUGCUUAGAGAAAAGGAAGACCAGAUUAAGAAGCUACAGGAAUAUAUAGAGUCUCAGAAGUCAGAAAGUAUGAAAAUGGACUCAUCAUACUCAUCGGAAAACACUGAAGACCUAAAACAAAUGAGACAGACUCUGCUUGAUGCCGAAACUGUAGCUCUUGAUGCUAAGAGAGAAUCAGCCUUUCUUAGAAGUGAAAAUCUAAAGCUGAAAGAGAAAAUGAAAGAACUUGCAAGUACAUGCAAGCAGAUGGAAAAUGAUACUCAGUUAUAUCAAAGUCAGUUGGAGGCGAAAAAGAAAAUGCAAGUUGAUCUGGAGAAAGAAUUACAAUCUUCUUUUAAUGAAAUAACAAAACUCACCUCCCUUAUAGAUGGCAAAGUUCCAAAAGAUUUUCUGUCUAAUAUGGAAUUGGAAAGAAAAAUAACCCAUCUACAGAAAGAAUUGAAUAAAGCAGUCGAAGAAAAUGAAACUUUGCGUAAUGAAGUUAAUUUGCUGUCAGAAUUGAAAUCUUUACCUUCAGAAGUAGAAAUGCUAAGGAAAGAGAUACGGGAUAAAUCUGAAGAGCUCUAUACAGUAACAUCAGAAAAAGACAAAUUGUCUUCUGAAGUAGUUGAUAAGGAAAGUAGAAUUCAAGGUUUACUUGAAGAAAUUGGGAGCACUAAAAAUGACCUACCAGCUCCCCAGUUGAGUUGUGAAAGCACUGAUCAAGAAUUCCAACAUGUUAAAAAUCACCAUAUUGAAUUUGAGCAAAAGUAUAAGAUGGUCCUUGAAGAAAAUGCAAAAUUGAAUCAAGAAAUAGGAAAUCUCUAUAAAGAAGCUGAAGAACUUGGGUUAAAUUUAGAGGCUUUGAAGACAGAGCUCUCUCACAAAACCCAAGAACUUCAACAAAAAACAACUGAGACUCAAGAAAGAUCAAACGAAGUGGAAGAGCUGAAGAAACAAUUAGAAAGUAGGGAAUCUAGACUGCAAAUGGUAGAAAAGGAGAAAACACUGAUUACUGAGAAACUUCAACAAACAUUAGUAGAAGUAAAAACCUUAACCCAAGAAAAAGAUGAUCAAAAACAACUCCAAGAGAGCCUACAAAUUGAGAGGGACCAACUCAAAAGUGACAUUCAGGAUACUAUAAAUAUGAACAUAGACACCCAGGAACAGCUACGAAAUGCGCUUGAGUCUUUGAAACAACACCAAGAAACAAUUAACGUGCUAAAAAUGAAAAUUUCUGAGGAAACUUCCAAGAAUUUGCAUAUAGAAGAAAACUUAGAAGAAACUAGGGAUGAAUUUCAGGAAAAGAUGGUUGUCAUAGAUAAAAGCCAAAAUUUGGAAACCACAAAAACUCAAGCUCUGAUCACAGAUGCUGCGGAUAAUGAGCUAACUGAGCAAGAGAAAAAGAUAUUUUCUUUAAUACAGGAGAAAAAUGAACUGCAACAAAUGUUAGAGAGUAUUACAGCAGAAAAGGAGCAACUGAAGACUGACCUAAGAGAAAACAUUGAAAUGACCAUUGAAAACCAGGAAGAAUUAAGAUUUCUUGGAAAUGAACUUAAAAAACAACAGGAUAUUGUUGCACAAGAAAAGAACCAUACCAUUAAGAAAGAAGAAGAGCUUUCUAGGACCUGUGAAAAACUAUCAGAAGUUCAAGAAAAACUAAAGGAAAAGAGCCAACAACUGCAAGAAAAACAGCAGCAACUGCUUAGUGUACAAGAAGAGAUGAGUGAGAUGCAGAAAAAGAUGAAUGAAAUGGAAAACUUAAAGAAUGAACUAAAGAACCAAGAAUUAACAUUGGAGCGUAUAAAAAUUGAGAAGAUAGAGUUAGCUCAGAAACUUCAUGAAAAUUGUGAGGAAAUGAAAUUCAUAACCAAAGAAAGAAACGACCUAAAGAAAUUACAGGAGUCAUUUGAAGUAGAGAGAAAUAAGCUUAAAGAACACAUAAGACAGAUUGAAGCUACAGGUCUAGAAACAAAAGAAGAACUACAGAUGGCCCACAUGUACCUAAAAGAACACCAAGAAACUAUUGAAGAACUAAGAAGAGACAUUUCUGAGAAGACGGCUCAGAUAAUAAAUACUCAGAAGAACUUAGAAAAAUCUGGUACUGAACUGCAAGAAAAGAUCCCAGUGCUUCAUGAGGAGCUACUUCCUAAUGUGAAAGAAAUCACUGAUACUCAGGAAACAGUGGAUGAGCCAGAGCUGUUGAAAGCACAAUCCAAAGCCAGAGAUUCAGCAACACUAGCAAGUAUAGAAGUGACAAGUCUCAGGGUGGCUGCAAAACUUCAGGAAAGUCAGGAGAUAAAAUCUCUCACUAAGGAAAGAGAGAAUCUUAAAAUGACAAUAGAAGCACUUCAGAUUGAACGUGACCAACGGAAGAUGAGAGAAACUUUGGCUAAAAUCCAAACAUCUCAAGACAAACAAGAACAGUCCUUCAAUAUGAAAGAAAAGGACAGUGAGACUAAGAAAAUAAUGAAUGAGAUGGAGCAAUUGAAGGACCCAUUCAAAGACUCAGCACUACUAAAGCUAGAAAUGGAAAAGCUCGAAUUGUCUGAAAGACUUCAAGAAAGUCAUGAUGAAGUCAAAGCUGUAGCAAAGGAGAGAGCUAACCUUCAGAGGCUACAAGAACUUCUUCAAUCUGAAAAGAACCAACUCCAAGAAAACCUAAGAGAAAUGGCCGCUAAACAACUAGAAACUGAAGAGAAACUUAAAGUUGCUCAUUGUCACCUAAAAGAACAAGAGGAAAUUAUUGGUAAACUAAGAGCGGAUCUAUCAAAGAGAGAAACUGAAAUAUCACACAUUCAACAGGAACUGGAAACAGCAAAUGAUAAAUUACAGAAAAAGACUCAAGAGCUUUAUGAGAAACAGUUUAUUACUGUCAAGGAAAUCAGUGAGACUCAGGAAACAAUGAGUGAACUGGAACAGUUAAAGGAACAUCUCAAAGCCAAAGGCUCGUCACUACAAAGAAAAGAAAGUGAGAGGCUCACAUUGACUGAAAAACUUCAGGCAAGUCAGGAAGAAUUAAAAACCAUAAUUAAGGAAGGAGAUGAACUGGAAAGGAUACAGGAGGCCCUUCAAAAAGAAACAGACCAACUCAAAGAAAACACUAAAGAAAUUGUAGCUGAUAUUCAAGAACUUCAGGAAAAAGAACAUCAACUUCUUGAGAUGAAGGAUGUCAGUGAGACUUGGGAAAAAAUAUGUGAAAUGGAAAACUUGAAGAAGCAACUUGAGGCCCAAAAGUCAACUCUAGAAAAUAUAGAAUGGGAGAACAUCAAGUUAAUUCAGAGACUCAAUGAAAAUAUUGCAGAAAUAAGAUCUGUUACAAAAGAAAGAGAUGACCUUAGGAAUAUGGAGGAGACUCUCAAAGUAGAGAUAGACCAGCUCAAGGAAAACCUAAGAGAAACAACAAAUAGAGACCUGGAAAGACAAGAGGAACUAAGAACUGCCCAGAUGAAUCUGAAAGAGCACCAAGAAACUAUCGAUAAACUCAGAGGAAUUGUUUCAGGGAAGACAGAUGAAAUAUCAAAUAUCCAAAUGAAUUUAGAAAACACAAAUAUGGCCUUAAAAGCACAGGAUCUAGAAAGACAAGAAGAACUAAGAAUAGCUCACUUACAUCUGAAGGAGUACCAGGAAAUUAUUGAUAAACUCAGAGGGAUUGUGUCUGAGAAGGCAGAAGAACUAUCAAAUAUGCAAAUGGAUUUAGAAAAUUCAAAUGCUAAAUUACAAGAAAAGGUCCAAGAACUGAAAGCAAAUGAACAGCAACUUUUUAAGUUAAAAGAAGAAAUUAGUGAGACUAAGAAAAAAAUGUGUGACAUUGAGCAACUGAAGAACGAAUUUAAGUGCCAGAGUUUAACUAUGAACAAAAUAGAAAUGGAGAACUUAAACUUGGCUCAGAAGCUUCAUGAAAACCUUGAAGAAAUGAAAUCUGUAAUGAAAGAAAGAGAUAACCUAAGGGGGCUGGAAGAGACCCUCAGACUGGAGAGAGACCUACUCAAGGCGGACCUGCAAGGAAGCACAGCUAGGGAACUGGAGACACAAGAACAACUAAAAGUUGCUCAUAUCCAUUUGAAAGAACACCAAGAGACUAUCGAUAAAUUGAGAGAGAGAGUUUCAGAAAAGACGUCUCAGAUUUCACAUGUGCAAAAGGAUUUAAAUAAAUCAAAAGAUGAAUUACAGAAAAAGCAGGAUCAACAGAACCACAAAGAGGUAAAAUAUGAAAAAAGCUUACUAUGUGAUGGAAACCAACACCUUAUAGGAAGCCUGAGAGAAAAGUGCUUUAGGAUAAAAGAGCUUCUUAAGAGAUACUCAGCGAUGGAUAAGCACUAUGAAUGUUUAAGUAGAUUGUCUCUUGACUUGAAGAAGGAAAUUGAAACCCAAAAAGAGCUUUCAAUUAGAGUAAAAGCAAACCUCUCACUUCCAUAUCCACAAACCAAACAAAUCCAGAAACUUCUCACUGCAAACCAGAGGUGUUCCAUGGAAUUUCAUAGAGUCGUAAUGAAACUUCAGUAUGUGCUAAGCUAUGUUGCAAGGACAAAGGAAGAACAACAUGAAUCCAUCAAUAAAUUUGAAAUGGCUUUUAUUGAUGAAGUGGAAAAGCAAAAUGAACUGCUAAUGGAACUACAGCACUUUCAACAAGAUUAUGAUGUACCACCUGGAGAAUCAAGGGACCUCAAAUUGAACCAGAGCAUGGAUCUACAUAUCGAAGAAAUUCUUAAGGAUUUUUCAGAAAGUGAUUUCCAUAGCAUAAAGACUGAAUUUCAGCAAGUACUAAGUAAUAGAAAAGAAAUGACUCGGUUUUUGGAAGAGUGGUUGAAUGCUCGUUUUGAUAUAGAAAAGCUUAAAAAUGUCAUCCAGGAAGAAAAUGAUAGUAUUUGUCAAGUGAACAACUUGUAUCAUGAGAAAAUAACGGCUAUAAUGAAUGAAUUAACAGAGUUUGAAGAAAGAAAUGCUACCAUAGCCAAAGAAUGGGAACAAGAUCUGAAAUCAGUGAAAGAAAACAAUCAAAAACUAUUUAAAAACUACCAAACUUUGAAGCUCUCCCUGACCUCCGGUGCUCUUGUUAAUCCUACUACACAAGACAGGAAUCUUCAUGUCACAACGAGAGCUACACAGCAAGUCACAGAGAAAAUUCAAGCGCUGGAAACCUCACUCCGUGAAGCUAAAGAAAGUGCUAUGCAUAAGGAGGGCAAGAUUAUGAAGAUGCAGAAAGAGCUUGAGAUGACUAAUGAUGUAAUAGCAGAACUUCAGCGGCAAGUUAAUGAAUCAAAUGAAUGCCUUGAAAAAAGAAAAGAAAUGAUCCAAGUACUUCAGGACAAAGCUGCUUUAGGAGCUAAACCUUAUAAAGAAGAAAUUGAAGAUCUCAAAAUGAAGUUGGUGAAAGUGGACCUAGAGAAAAUGGAAAAUGCGAAGGAGUUUGAAAAGGAAAUUGCUUCAACAAAAGCCACUGUAGAAUAUCAAAAAGAAGUUAUAAGGCAAUUGAAAGAGAAUCUUAGAAGAAAUCAACAGGCCCAAGAUACCUCAAUGCUAUCAGAACAUAUUGAUACUCAGCCUUCAAAUAAACCCUUAACCUGUGGAGGUGGCAGUGGCAUUGUACAAAGCACGAAAGCUCUUAUCCUGAAAAGUGAAUAUAUACGGCUAGAAAAGGAAGUUUCUAAGUUAAAGCAGCAAAAUGAACAGCUCAUGAAGCAAAAGAACGAACUGUCAAGCAAUUAUCAUUAUCUUUCCAGUGAGGUCAAGACAUGGAAGGAGAGAACUCUUAAAAAAGAGGUUCACAAAGAAGUAACUUGUGAGAAUUCUCCAAAGUCUCCUAAAGUGACUGGGACACCCUCUAAAAAGAGACACCAUAUGUCUUCUCAAUGCAAGGAACGGAAUGUCCAAGAUCCUGUGCCAAAGGAGUCGCCGAAAUCUUGGUUUUUUGAUAACCGAUCAAAGUCUUUGCCAGUACCUCCUCCAGUUCGCUAUUUUGAUAACUCAGGUUUAGGCCUUUGUCCAGAAGAACAAACUGCUGAAGUGGAGACCGAGGAUCCCCAGCGAGGUCCUUGGCAAAUGUCGUCAGGAAAAGAGGUGCCAGAGUGCAAGACUCAGUAGGCUCCGCUCUGCCGCGUUUCUGGCGGCCCAGCCUUCCACGUUUGGAAGUGUCUGUGUUUAUUGCUUGAUGUGUCUAUCCCUGGCAGGCAUGUCACAGUCCAGCUUCAGUUCAGUUCCCACUUUGC